UACGAGGGGGCUAGUGUUGUUCGGAUUUACUGGGCGUAAAGGGCGCGUAGGCGGCCACCGCAAGUCGACUGUGAAAUCUCCGGGCUUAACCCGGAAAGGUCAGCCGAUACUGCGGGGCUAGAGUGCAGAAGGGGCAACUGGAAUUCUCGGUGUAGCGGUGAAAUGCGUAGAUAUCGAGAGGAACACCUGCGGCGAAGGCGGGUUGCUGGGCUGACACUGACGCUGAUGCGCGAAAGCUAGGGGAGCGAACGGG
rnacentral:rRNA from 1 species